CCCGAGCCCGCACCGCCCGGGUGCGCACCGGGUGUCCCGAGCCCCGAGCGGGCUGCCCCCUUCUUCAGCCCACGUCCCGCCUAGAGAAAUAACGCCCUGGUCGCGGCUGGCCUCAGGAAUGCCGCUCGUCCUCCACGUGCACGCAACGGCAUGUCGGAACAUUCACCUCCAGAUGCUGAAAUUGGAUUAAAAUCAACGGCACGAGGAAUUACAGAUUGUUCCUUUUCGGAUUAUGUUUUUAAUCCCCCGCGGCAGCAGCAGUAAACCUUGGAAACUUCUCUACUGCUGACGAACAAGUCCCAGUGAAAUCCCUGUGGACGUGCAGUUUGGCAAAAUGGAAACGGCCCAAAGAAUGUAAAGCAUUUGCUUUUACACCUACCAAAGGCUCCCUGUUCAGCACUGCUUCACCUUGGUUCAGGUGGGUUUGGGGACUUUUUUAUUGUUUGGGUGAGGGUUUUUUUUAGUAACUUUUUCUCAAACCCAGAACACAUUGGUACCCUAGAGAUGGAACUACCCCUACAGAAGAGGAGCAGCUCCCAUCAGCGACUCAAAUACGUGGUCCCAAAGGGGGACGUGUGUGAUGAGGGAGGCUGUGCUGACAGGCCAGAGGUGCACGGACUUGCUGAAGGAUUCGAAGGGAGAUUUAGGCAGGAAAUGAGCAGAUGUGUUUGAACGGCACAAGAAGCAAGCAUACGGGACUUUGUGUAGCCAGGGAGGCAUCAUUAGCAGCUGGACAUUUUUUCACAGGCAGAGAGGCAGAAGCCAGGGGCACCUCCUCUCACAGGGUUUUACACGGCGAGUGGCACGGGUGAGACCUCCCCAGGAAGGAAUAACUAGGGCAACAUCCUUUAAAAAAGUACCUAAUGUGGAUCGGCAAUGUUGACAUUCUUUAAGGAUGAUUCCCCAAGGAUGAAGAACGGUUUUCUGGAGAGUGAUGCCUAUAACGAAUUCACUCUCACCCUUUAUUAUUUGUGAUCUAUUUCUUGACCAUCGGCUUCCAGAUGCUGGCUCUCACCCCGUCUGUCCACAUCAGAGACCUGUGGGUCUCUCCAUGGAACUGCCUUACUCUCUGUCACCAAGUUACCUCCUUAAUAAAAAGGUUUUCUAAGUCCAAGACAAGUUGGUACAUUUACAUGUACCACGAUGAAAACCAAGGCAAUCACUUUUCUUUCUAUUUCAAGGGAAGACACAGAGAAUUUGAACCAGAAAAGAUCAAAAUGCUAUUGCUGUUCUAACAUAUGGCCUAUGUUUGGGAUUCCUGAAGGCCUUUUCCUCUAAAAAGCACAGCCUAAGAGUUGUUUACUUGUAAAGUGCUAUAAAACAAACCUGAGUUCAAACACAACAAAUGAAUUGUCAGAUAGACUGCCACUGAAAGUUGUGUGUAGUUUUAUUUCAACAUAUCAAGCACAAACAGAUUUCCCCUAACUGGGGAAUAUGAUGAGGAAUGUACUUAAAAAUUUGGAAACAUUUACAUUGAAAGAUAGCCCAGACUGGCACCACCACUAAGUAUUUUAAGGCUGUAUAUAUAGCAGUACUUACCACUUGGAACUACUUCAGGCCAGAAAAGAAAGGCUUAGUAUUGUCUGCAGUCUACAGAAAAUAUUGCAAAUCUUUAAAAAAUGGUGUAAAAUAGGAAGACUAUCAAUAGAGUUGAACAAUGCAGUGGCAAAACCCUUCCUCCUUUCUGACCUUCGACAAUAAACAUGCCUAAGAC